UCAAAGGCUCUUUUCAGAGCCACUCAAUUACCGAGAAAGAGCUAGU
rfam:Callithrix jacchus chromosome 4, whole genome shotgun sequence